rnacentral:rRNA from 1 species
AUUGAACGCUGGCGGCAGGCCUAACACAUGCAAGUCGAACGAGUGGCGGACGGGUGAGUAAUGUCUGGGCACCUGCCUGAUGGAGGGGUAUAACUACUGGAAACUGUAGCUAAUACCGCAUACCAUCAGAUGUGCCCAGAUGGGAUUAGCUAGUUGGUGGGGUAACGGCUCACCAAGGCGACGAUCCCUAGCUGGUCUGCGAGGAGGACCAGCCACACUGGAACUGAGACACGGUCCAGACUCCUACGGGAGGCAGCAGUGGGGAAUAUUGCACAAUGGGCGAAAGCCUGAUGCAGCCAUGCCGCGUGUAUGAAGAAGGCCUUCGGGUUGUAAAGUACUUUCAGCGGGGAGGCGUUACCCGCAGAAGAAGCACCGGCUAACUCCGUGCCAGCAGCCGCGGUAAUUC